GCUUUACAGCGCACACUAAGAUUGGAAUGAUACAGAAAAGAUCAGCAUGGCCCCUGCACAGAGAUGACACAAAAAUGUAUGAAGACGUCUCUAUUUUU
rnacentral:snRNA from 1 species